GCACGGAAUAGUGGAUGAAAAAACAGAUGUUUUUGCCUUUGGUGUAUUGUUGCUGGAAUUAGUCACAGGGCGGCGAGCACUGGAUUACUCGCAGCAAAGCCUUGUCUUGUGGGUAUGAUUUCCUUUGUCUUUCCUGCUUUUUGUUCAGAAUUAAGGUAACCAGCAAGCACUUGCAAAGAAUGCAUGUAAAUGGAUGACAAUAAUGAAAUAGAUUUUUUUACUUUCUAGGCAAAACCUUUGCUCAAGAAGAG
rnacentral:misc_RNA from 1 species